CAUCAACAGUUCUACUUAGGAGAUGUUGUCUAUGCACGUCGGCUUGGUGUUCUUCCACGCUUCAGGAAUAUCAGGUACCAUUUGAAUGAGUUUGCUAGUAGGAACUAUCCUAGGACUCCACAGUAGUUGUUUAAUCUCAGAUACUCCAGCCUUAGAGUUACUGUUGAGAGGGCAUUUGAAGCUCUGAAGAGCAUGUCUAAGAUCCUAAAUCAGAAGCCAUUCCACACUUUCCCCACACAGGUUAAGAUUGUGCUUGCUUGUUGCAUUUUGCAUAACUAGAUCCUGCAAUGUGGUUGUGAUGAAGUGCGUGAGGAGGAAGAUGUGACACCUGAUGAUGUUGUUAGCUCUGGCCAUGGUGUGGAGGCAAUUGACAACGGAGCCUGAAAGAACAAAAGGAUGGAGUGGGCACAUGCAAUCUGGGAUAACAGAGGUCGGACAAGGAUCUGA
rnacentral:rRNA from 1 species